rnacentral:rRNA from 1 species
CACGUAGGGUGCGAGCGUUGUCCGGAUUUAUUGGGCGUAAAGAGCUCGUAGGCGGCUUGUUGCGUCGACCGUGAAAACCCGGGGCUCAACUUCGGGCUUGCGGUCGAUACGGGCGGGCUAGAGUUCGGUAGGGGAGACUGGAAUUCCUGGUGUAGCGGUGAAAUGCGCAGAUAUCAGGAGGAACACCGGUGGCGAAGGCGGGUCUCUGGGCCGAUACUGACGCUGAGGAGCGAAAGCGUGGGGAGCGAACAGG